CUCUUUUGCUGUAUUUGUUUUUGUGGGAGAGUUAGGGACCUUCCAAAACCAUGAAGCUGUCACCUUCUUCCUUCCUUUGCCUAAUUUUUAAAUGAUCACAGGCUGCUCCAGCAACGAUGCGUGUCAAGAAUGUAUGGGGAGACUGGAAGAACAGACAUGAAGCUACUGCUAUGCUUUGCUUCUUCAGGAUAUUUUCAUUCUGCGAAGAGCUGCUCUCACUGACCAGAAAAUAAUGCCACAAACAACUUCAGCAACAUCCUUACUACGGCCCAUGAUCCCACUGGAAGUGAAAGCAUUGUUUCCUGUUGCUCAAGUAGAAAUAUCUUAAGGACGGUGGUUUCUGGAGACACUAAGAUGAUCUUCUUGCAGACUGACAGGCAUCUAGAUAUUUUCCCACCAUUCCAAUUCUUUCUUCACCUGAGAAGAGAGAGAAUCCAUUAUUUGUCCUAUUGCUUUUGAUAUAUGGUUUGAAGUCUCUAGCCAUUCUGCUAAAGAAGAUAAUUUUUAUGCACUUAAUAAAUGGAAGAAAACAUC
rnacentral:lncRNA from 1 species